CCCAGACUCCUACGGGAGGCAGCAGUGAGGAAUAUUGGUCAAUGGCCGAGAGGCUGAACCAGCCAAGUCGCGUGAGGGAAGACGGCCCUACGGGUUGUAAACCUCUUUUGUCGGGGAGCAAAGCGAACCACGUGUGGUUCAUUGAGAGUACCCGAAGAAAAAGCAUCGGCUAACUCCGUGCCAGCAGCCGCGGUAAUACGGAGGAUGCGAGCGUUAUCCGGAUUUAUUAGGUUUAAAGGGUGCGUAGGCGGGACGGUAAGUCAGCGGUAAAAAUGCGGAGCUCAACUCCGUCGAGCCGUUGAAACUGCCGUUCUUGAGUGAGCAAGAAGUAUGCGGAAUGCGUGGUGUAGCGGUGAAAUGCAUAGAUAUCGCGCAGAACUCCGAUUGCGAAGGCAGCGUACCGGCGCCAGACUGACGCUGAGGCACGAAAGCGUGGGGAUCGAACAGGAUUAGAUACCCCCGUAUC
rnacentral:rRNA from 1 species